rnacentral:rRNA from 1 species
UACGAAGGGGGCUAGCGUUGCUCGGAAUCACUGGGCGUAAAGCGCACGUAGGCGGUCUUUUAAGUCGGGGGUGAAAUCCUGGAGCUCAACUCCAGAACUGCCUUCGAUACUGGAAGACUUGAGUCCGGGAGAGGUGAGUGGAACUGCGAGUGUAGAGGUGAAAUUCGUAGAUAUUCGCAAGAACACCAGUGGCGAAGGCGGCUCACUGGCCCGGUACUGACGCUGAGGUACGAAAGCGUGGGGAGCAAACAGGG